AUGAAGCCCUAAGAAAUCGGGUGAACCCUAGAGUUCCCCACGAACACUUCACUGUGGCCUCGGCUCUCAUCGAUGAAUCAAUGGUGCUUUUUACCUCACUGAAGUGUUUGGGGGAACUCUUGAUGCCACUUGAUAGUUGAAACAGAGAACCAAUAUACCAUGUACAUAUAUAACCCAUCAUCACUUCCAAAAAUUUGCCCUCAAAUUCUCUUUCUCUUUUGGAUGGAACACAGCCUGCAACGAAGUUAAGCCUCCUUCAGAGGGAAUGGUCUGCUUGAUGCAAAUUAAAGGAAGCUAUGUUGCAGCAGCAGCAGCUGAAAUGGCUUUUAAUUGUAGGUGUGCAAGCUGAUGUGCUUGGUUUUAUGUAGUUUCUUUUUCCUUUCUCCGUUGUCAAAGGGGGAAAUAAUGCAAUUCAUCUCAAACUGUGUAAAAGGACGAGACCCACUUUUUAUUAAAACUAUCUAAAUCCUCACUUUUGCUUUA